AACGAAGAGGUGCUUGCACCUUUGGCGUCGAGCGGCGGACGGGAGAAUAAUGCUUGGGAAUAUGCCUUAUGGUGGGGGACAACAGUUGGAAACGACUGCUAAUACCGCAUGAUGUCUACGGACCAAAGUGGGGGACCCUCGGGCCUCACGCCAUAAGAUUAGCCCAAGUGGGACUAGCUAGUUGGUGAGGUAAUGGCUCACCAAGGCGACGAUCCCUAGCUGGUUUGAGAGGAUGAUCAGCCACACUGGGACUGAGACACGGCCCAGACUCCUACGGGAGGCAGCAGUGGGGAAUAUUGCACAAUGGGCGCAAGCCUGAUGCAGCCAUGCCGCGUGUGUGAAGAAGGCCUUCGGGUUGUAAAGCACUUUCAGUAAGGAGGAAAGGUUAAGUGUUAAUAGCGCUUAGCUGUGACGUUACUUACAGAAGAAGCACCGGCUAACUCCGUGCCAGCAGCCGCGGUAAUACGGAGGGUGCGAGCGUUAAUCGGAAUUACUGGGCGUAGAGCGUACGCAGGCGGUUUGUUAAGCGAGAUGUGAAAGCCCCGGGCUCAACCUGGGAACUGCAUUUCGAACUGGCAAACUAGAGUGUGAUAGA
rnacentral:rRNA from 1 species